AGUGGCGGACGGGUGAGUAACGCGUAAGAAUCUAACUUCAGGACGGGGACAACAGUGGGAAACGACUGCUAAUACCCGAUGUGCCGCGAGGUGAAACCUAAUUGGCCUGAAGAAGAGCUUGCGUCUGAUUAGCUAGUUGGUGGGGUAAGAGCCUACCAAGGCGACGAUCAGUAGCUGGUCUGAGAGGAUGAGCAGCCACACUGGGACUGAGACACGGCCCAGACUCCUACGGGAGGCAGCAGUGGGGAAUUUUCCGCAAUGAGCGAAAGCCUGACGGAGCAACGCCGCGUGAGGGAGGAAGGUCUUUGGAUUGUAAACCUCUUUUCUCAAGGAAGAAGUUCUGACGGUACUUGAGGAAUCAGCCUCGGCUAACUCCGUGCCAGCAGCCGCGGUAAUACGGGGGAGGCAAGCGUUAUCCGGAAUUAUUGGGCGUAAAGCGUCCGCAGGUGGUCAGCCAAGUCUGCUGUCAAAUCAGGUUGCUUAACGACCUAAAGGCGGUGGAAACUGGCAGACUAGAGAGCAGUAGGGGUAGCAGGAAUUCCCAGUGUAGCGGUGAAAUGCGUAGAGAUUGGGAAGAACAUCGGUGGCGAAAGCGUGCUACUGGGCUGUAUCUGACACUCAGGGACGAAAGCUAGGGGAGCGAAAGGGAUUAGAUACCCCUGUAGUCCUAGCCGUAAACGAUGGAUACUAGGCGUGGCUU
rnacentral:rRNA from 1 species